CUGUGCUAGAUGGGGAGGUAGCGGUGCCCUGAACUUGCAAUCCGCUGUAGCAAGGUUGAAUUCCCUUGGCGCGGCAUAAUAAUCUGGGGUCUGACUUAUGAAAGUAGUGUUGAGAGUUUGGUCCUGCGCAACAAAGCGCCAUGAAUCCUGUCAGGUCCGGAAGGAAGCAGCAGUAAGUGGAAGGCAUUGUGUGACGUGGGGUAGCUGAACUUGAGCUAACUCCAUGAGUAGCGCUUGGAGCAUUAUGUCCACCUAAGGGUGCACAG
rnacentral:SRP_RNA from 1 species